rnacentral:lncRNA from 1 species
UAAGAUGACAUUAAUUCUAGAAAAUUAAAUGCUGUAAUAAACAUGCCAAUACCGCUGCAGAAAACAGUAUUCAUCAAACUUCUGAAUUCAGAAAUGAUUCACCUUUACAUAGAAGCAACUCCAAAGAAAUGGUACAUUAGCAAUGACAUGUCGGGAUAGAGAGGAAGAAGCCAGCAAUGGUGGUCAUAGGCUCUGACUAUCUCAACAAAGAUCAGAAAUUGGAAAAGAUAGCCUAAACAUGCUUAUUGCUUCACUCCUUAACUAUCAAAUUGCUGAUAUAACAUAUCCCGGUAAACUUUGAUAACUGAACCCAACUCAACUGUCUUAAUCUCAAACUAGUUUGGUAUAUGAAUCCUUUUCCACCAUUCCAUUUUGUUUGGGGCAACACUUUCUAAAAAAUAUAGCAAUAUCAAGUCCUUCCUUACUACUUCAUCUUAUGUGAUUUUAUAUCCACAUCUACCCAUUUUUCUUUCACUCUUUCACACCGGUGCAUCUCUCGGCCUAUAUUAUAUAUGUUCAAACCAACUAAGUUGUCCUUCUCUCAAUGUGUCCUCAAUUAGUGCUACAUCUAUCUUUGUAUAAAUGACUUCUUUUCUUAUUCUAUCGCUUGUUGUC